UGGCUCCCUUGUAGCUACUGUCUUUAAGUGGUCCCUCUGUCCCCAGUAUCCUUUAUAAACCGGGUGCGGGGGCACAAGGCUGCACUAGAAUUGGGUCAAGCUUUGGCAAGAGCCUUGUGUCCUCCCUGGGGUGGCAUCGUCACAGCAGGCGUGUCCGACCUCUGUCCAGCAGCCGUUCGCUCAGCUUUCUGUCUCGGGACCAGCGGUAAGCAGGGGAAGACAUCUUGACAUCGUGCGGCUAUCCACGCCUCCUGGGUCUGUCACCCGGCGGUUUUCGCAUCCACUCCGCCUUAAGGGAUUCUUUCUAUCUGAUUAACGUCAACGGCUUCGUCGGACACAUGAGUUUAUUUCUUCGGGGCUAGUGUUGGUGGACAGCUCGUCACUGGCGAUAAGGGACCUUGCGGCAAUGUAAAUGCUCCGGGACCCCGUCCCCCCAUCCUCUCUCCUGUAGCAUGAGUAAGCUGGAGUCACCCACGCAGCAAAAGCAUCCUGGGCCCGCUCCCCACCAGCCACUGCCUGGCUCUUCCGCUUCCCCACCGGGGAAUGGCACAUUCUGGCCUCCAGCUGGGUGCGGAGCACAUCCUUGGAGCAAACUUUCUUUGGCCCCGCUGUUUCCUGGCACUGAGAACCGAUGCGGAGGAAUCAGACGCUGCCCACUCUGUCCCUGACAGACUCUUCCUGCCCUUGGUGGAGUGGCGUGUGUGUGUUGGGAGCUUUUCUGUAAGGACCCUGACCUGAGAGGAAAAGGGGUCAGCCGUGGAGCUUCCGGGGAUGGCUGGAAAGUCGGGGUGCAGGGGCCCUGCCCCCAUGGGAAGAAAGGAAUGAGAAAGAGGAAGCCAAGGCUCGCCGGAGGUGGGCAGGACUCCCUGUCUGGCGGCCCACCGCCCAGGUGAGGGGAGAGGGCGGCAGCUCGGUCUGGGAAAGGGUUAUGGGUUGGAUCGUGUCCCCCAAGAAAGAUGUGUUCGAGUCUUGCCCGCCAGCAGCUGUGACUGGGACCUAACCUGGAUGAGGUGGUGCUGGACGAGGGCGGGCCUCAUCUCGCACUUGGCUUUUGCCGAUCCCCUUAGCUUGUUUGUACCCCCGCGAUGGCAGCCAUUCUCUUGAAGGCCGGACCCAAGGUGAGCGGGGCUCCCUCACCGUCUCCGUCCGCCCCCUCAUCAUGCCCCAGCCUCACAGCUCUGGCAACCCCGAGUCUCCCCUUAGCUGCUGAGUUCUCUGAGUCCCCACCCCCACCCCCACCCCAUGUUUGGUUGCCGCCCGCCCAUCCUGCGACCCAUGGGGCUGAAUUCCCCUGCAGCCCCGGGAAUGUCUCAUUUUAGGUGCCGGCAUCGUUUGGAGACGUGCCCGUGUACUUCAUCAAGACGGGACGGAAGCUUCUGGACCUCAGUCAAAGGAUCCUCUACAAGGGAGUGUUGCUGGAGAACUACCGCCAUUCGGUGUCACUGGAUGCUGACGCUGGGCUGAGUUCAGGAGUGACUGAUCUGCUUCGUUUCCAUGGACAGGACUUUUAGCCUCCAAGCCUCACUUGGUCUCCUGGCUGGAGCAAGGUGACGAGCCCAAGGCGGCAGACAUCCACGGGACACGGGCUGCUGCAGGGGUGCGGACGGGUGACGGGAUAGAGAACAGGACGUCGACUUCAAAGCAGAAGCAUUGCCCCCAAGAGCUCCCGAGGACUGACCCUCGGGCCGGUAACGAGAGCCAGGUGGCCCGGCCAACAGGGGAGAGAGACCGCUAAUCGCACAGGGAAACAUGCUCGUUCCCCACAGACGGGUUCCGGCAGGGGUGACCAGCCCGGGGAGAGAGGUCAAGGCGGCUCCUCCAGUGAGGGAAGAGCGAUGGAGCAGAGAAGACAGGAUGGCGUGAUGGGAUUAGGGUCCGCUUCAGUCGCAGCUCCAACCUCCUCAAGCACCGGUGCACCCACAGCGGCCACGAGCCCUACACGUGCGGCUAGUGUCUCAAGGCCUUCAAGGGCGCGUCCCAGCUCAUUCACCGCCAGAGCGUCCACAGCGGGGAGAAGCCGUUCGCGUGCAAGAGUGCAGGAAGGCGUUCCGGGGAUUCUCGGGUCUCAGCCUG